GGCCAGAGCGCCGGUACCGGAGGAAUCACAGCGCCACACUGAGAACAGAACCGAGCAAACGGGUCUGAAGGGCAGCAGAGGCAGCGAGGACACCUGGAAACACAAAGGACCAGGAUACGCCCCCCAGUGGACGGUGGGCGUGUCUCCGCCAGUGAGCGUGUCCUAAUGGUAGUGUCAUCAGAGUGGGGGUGUCCUGAGAGCGUACCGCGGCGGAGCGGCGUCACUCGGCGGUUGGGUUUGCGGUUCGCUGCUCAGCGGCGUUGGAUGAGCAGGAGCGUCGGGAAGAGCAGGUCCAGGCAGCAUCAGGAUCUGGAAUCCCGGCACCUCUGGAGCAUCUGGAGGGCAGGGGAACCGGUGGAGGACUGGACCCGAUCCGCUCCGGUUCUGAAGCCGGACUGCAGG